GAUGAACGCUGGCGGCGUGCCUAAUACAUGCAAGUCGAGCGAAUGGAUUGAGAGCUUGCUCUUAUGAAGUUAGCGGCGGACGGGUGAGUAACACGUGGGUAACCUGCCCAUAAGACUGGGAUAACUCCGGGAAACCGGGGCUAAUACCGGAUAACAUUUUGAACCGCAUGGUUCGAAAUUGAAAGGCGGCUUCGGCUGUCACUUAUGGAUGGACCCGCGUCGCAUUAGCUAGUUGGUGAGGUAACGGAUCACCAAGGCAACGAUGCGUAGCCGACCUUAGAGGGUGAUAGGCCACACUGGGGCUGCGACACGGCUCCGACUCCUACGGGAGGCAGCAGUAGGGAAUCUUACGCAAUGGACGAAAGUCUGACGGAGCAACGCCGCGUGAGUGAUGAAGGCUUUCGGGUCGUAAAACUCUGUUGUUAGGGAAGAACAAGUGCUAGUUGAAUAAGCUGGCACCUUGACGGUACCUAACCAGAAAGCCACGGCUAACUACGUGCCAGCCGCCGCAGUAA
rnacentral:rRNA from 1 species